rnacentral:rRNA from 1 species
GCAAGUCGAACGCGAAAGGGAACUUCGGUCCUGAGUAAAGUGGCGCACGGGUGAGUAACGCGUAGAUAACCUGUCUUCAUGUCUGGAAUAAUACGCCGAAAGGGGUACUAAUACCGGAUAUUCUUGCUUUUCAUAAGUUAUGCAAGCAAAGGUGGCCUCUGCAUAUGCUACUGCAUGAAGAGGGGUCUGCGUACCAUUAGCUAGUUGGUGGGGUAAUGGCCUACCUAGGCGACGAUGGUUAGCGGGUCUGAGAGGAUGAUCCGCCACACUGGCACUGGAACACGGGCCAGACUCCUACGGGAGGCAGCAGUGAGGAAUAUUGCGCAAUGGGGGAAACCCUGACGCAGCGACGCCGCGUGAGUGAGGAAGGCCUUCGGGUCGUAAAGCUCUGUCAAGAGGAAAGAAGUGUACAAUGGCUAAUACCUGUUGUAUUUGACGGUACCUCUAAAGGAAGCACCGGCUAACUCCGUGCCAGCCGCCGC